rnacentral:rRNA from 1 species
GAUGAACGCUGGCGGCGUGCCUAAUACAUGCAAGUCGAGCGAACAGACGAGGAGCUUGCUCCUCUGACGUUAGCGGCGGACGGGUGAGUAACACGUGGAUAACCUACCUAUAAGACUUGGAUAACUUCGGGAAACCGGAGCUAAUACCGGAUAAUAUAUUGAACCGCAUGGUUCAAUAGUGAAAGACGGUUUUGCUGUCACUUAUAGAUGGAUCCGCGCCGCAUUAGCUAGUUGGUAAGGUAACGGCUUACCAAGGCAACGAUGCGUAGCCGACCUGAGAGGGUGGUAGGCCACACUGGAACUGGGACACGGUCCAGACUCCUACGGGAGGCAGCAGUAGGGAAUCUUCCGCAAUGGGCGAAAGCCUGACGGAGCAACGCCGCGUGAGUGAUGAAGGUCUUCGGAUCGUAAAACUCUGUUAUUAGGGAAGAACAAAUGUGUAAGUAACAAUGCACGUCUUGACGGUACCUAAACAGAAAGCCACGGCUAACUACGUG